rnacentral:rRNA from 1 species
GUGCCAGCCGCCGCGGUAAUACAGAGACUGCAAGCGUUAUUCGGAUUCACUGGGCGUAAAGGGUGCGCAGGCGGCCAAGUGUGUUAGGCGUGAAAGCCUGGGGCUUAACCCCAGAAUUGCACCUAAAACUACAUGGCUAGAGCAUUGGAGAGGGUAGCGGAAUUCACGGUGUAGCAGUGAAAUGCGUAGAUAUCGUGAGGAACACCAGAGGCGAAGGCGGCUACCUGGACAAUUGCUGACGCUCAGGCACGAAAGCGUGGGGAGCAAAAGGGAUUAGAUACCCUUGUAGUCC